UACGAAGGGUGCAAGCGUUAAUCGGAAUUACUGGGCGUAAAGCGCGCGUAGGUGGUUCAGCAAGUUGGAUGUGAAAAGCCCCGGGCUCAACCUGGGAACUGCGUUUGGUAACUACAAGACUAGAGUGUGUCAGAGGGGGGUGGGAAUUCCGCGUGUAGCAGUGAAAUGCGUAGAUAUAGGAAGGAACACCAGUGGCGAAGGCGACUACCUGGACUGAUACUGACACUGAGGUGCGAAAGCGUGGGGAGCAAACAGGAUUAGAUACCCUUGUAGU
rnacentral:rRNA from 1 species